rnacentral:lncRNA from 1 species
AAGCAUCUGUAAUGGCCAGCUUCGAUAAUGCACCGGUGGUGGAAUUGUUAUUGUGUUCGACUCCUUGAUAACCUGCUAUACUGAUGUCCGAAAUAGAAUAUCCAUCUGCAUGCAAUAUCCACGAACUCUGCUUCUGUUGAAGAACUGCAAUGGCUUUGUCGGACUCCUCAGCUGCUUUCCAUCUGGAGCUGCAACCUUAGAUGGAUUUCCCCGAAGACAAGUGCCCACAGNN